rnacentral:rRNA from 1 species
CCUACGGGAGGCAGCAGUGAGGAAUAUUGGUCAAUGGGCGGAAGCCUGAACCAGCCAAGUAGCGUGCAGGAUGACGGCCCUACGGGUUGUAAACUGCUUUUAUACGGGAAUAACGCGCCUUACGUGUAGGGCUUUGCAUGUACCGUAUGAAUAAGGACCGGCUAAUUCCGUGCCAGCAGCCGCGGUAAUACGGAAGGUCCGGGCGUUAUCCGGAUUUAUUGGGUUUAAAGGGAGCGUAGGCCGCAUGUCAAGCGUGCUGUGAAAUGUCCGGGCUGAACCCGGGCCUUGCAGCGCGAACUGGCGUACUUGAGUCCGCGGAAAGCAGGCGGAAUUCGUCGUGUAGCGGUGAAAUGCUUAGAUAUGACGAAGAACCCCGAUUGCGAAGGCAGCUUGCUGCAGCGGAACUGACGCUGAUGCUCGAAAGCGCGGGUAUCGAACAGGAUUAGAUACCCUGGUAGUC